rnacentral:lncRNA from 1 species
UACAGAGGGGACACUGGGGCUGAGUGAGAUAAGGUGUCUUGGCCAAGGGAAGUGGUUUGCUUGGUGACCGCAGAUGACUGCAACCCAAGGACGCUGCCAACCCACUACAUGUCACUACAACACAAAAGCUGAGCGGACACCCUUGUAAAGACAACACAGCAGACGUGUAACUUAGAAGCAUUCAAAUACAGACAGGGCCUCACUAGAGCCUGACAAUGCGCAAAGACCUAGAGACCAAACCAACAAACACCUCUGGCAAGGCUGAAGCAGAUGACCUCUUUACAAUGGCUUCAUUGGUUUAACCAGUUGGAAGGACUGUCCGCUGCCCAUAUACACUGACCUUAAACAUAACAGAGGAGAGAGGCGCAGGGUAAAGCCUGCUCAAAUGUGACAGGUGACACACAGUGCCUGCUGCAUUAGAGGGGCAGAUACAGGCGAGUGGCCAUGGCAACAAAUGCCACUAGUACCUGCAGUGUCUGCUCAGGGCUGUACCUGACAAGGAUAGAAGAGCAGUUCCAUGAGGCCCACCAGCGGCCG